rnacentral:rRNA from 1 species
GUGAGGAAUAUUGGUCAAUGGGCGAGAGCCUGAACCAGCCAAGUAGCGUGAGGGAUGACUGCCCUAUGGGUUGUAAACCUCUUUUGCAGGGGGGUAAAGUGGUUCACGUGUGGACCAUUGCAAGUACCCUGCGAAUAAGGAUCGGCUAACUCCGUGCCAGCAGCCGCGGUAAUACGGAGGAUCCGAGCGUUAUCCGGAUUUAUUGGGUUUAAAGGGAGCGUAGGCGGGGGUUUAAGUCAGCUGUGAAAUGCCGUGGCCCAACCAUGGAACUGCAGUUGAAACUGGACCUCUUGAGAGUACAUAAGGAAGGCGGAAUUCGUGGUGUAGCGGUGAAAUGCAUAGAUAUCACGAAGAACUCCGAUUGCGAAGGCAGCUUUCCGGGGUACAUCUGACGCUGAAGCUCGAAAGUGCGGGAAUCAAACAGGAUUAGAUACCCGAGUAGUCC